UACGUAGGGGGCAAGCGUUGUCCGGAUUUAUUGGGCGUAAAGAGCGUGUAGGCGGUCUGGUAGGUCCGUUGUGAAAACUCGAGGCUCAACCUCGAGACGCCGAUGGAAACCCUCAGACUAGAGUCCGGAAGAGGAGAGUGGAAUUCCUGGUGUAGCGGUGAAAUGCGCAGAUAUCAGGAGGAACACCGGUGGCGAAGGCGGGUCUCUGGGCCGAUACUGACGCUGAGGAGCGAAAGCGUGGGGAGCGAACAGG
rnacentral:rRNA from 1 species